CCUACGGGAGGCAGCAGUGGGGAAUAUUGGACAAUGGGGGGAACCCUGAUCCAGCGACGCCGCGUGAGUGAAGAAGUAUUUCGGUAUGUAAAGCUCUAUCAGCAGGGAAGAAAGAAAUGACGGUACCUGACUAAGAAGCCCCGGCUAACUACGUGCCAGCAGCAGCGGUAAUACGUAGGGGGCGAGCGUUAUCCGGAUGCACUGGGUGUAAAGGGAGCGUAGACGGCCAUGCAAGCCAGGGGUGAAAGCACGGGGCCCAACCCCGGAACUGCCCUUGGGACUGCAUGGCUGGAGUGCGGGGGGGGCAGGCGGAAUUCGUGGUGUAGCGGUGAAAUGCGUAGAUAUCAGGAAGAACACCGACGGCGAAGGCGGCCUGCUGAACCGCGACUGACGUUGAGGCUCGAAAGCGUGGGGAGCGAACAGGAUUAGAUACCCUAGUAGUC
rnacentral:rRNA from 1 species